GAUGAACGCUGGCGGCGUGCCUAAUACAUGCAAGUCGAGCGAGCAGACGAGGAGCUUGCUCCUCUGACGUUAGCGGCGGACGGGUGAGUAACACGUGGAUAACCUACCUAUAAGACUGGGAUAACUUCGGGAAACCGGAGCUAGUACCGGAUAAUAUAUUGAACCGCAUGGUUCAAUAGUGAAAGACGGUUUUGCUGUCACUUAUAGAUGGAUCCGCGCCGCAUUAGCUAGUUGGUAAGGUAACGGCUUACCAAGGCGACGAUGCGUAGCCGACCUGAGAGGGUGAUCGGCCACACUGGAACUGAGACACGGUCCAGACUCCUACGGGAGGCAGCAGUAGGGAAUCUUCCGCAAUGGGCGAAAGCCUGACGGAGCAACGCCGCGUGAGUGAUGAAGGUCUUCGGAUCGUAAAACUCUGUUAUUAGGGAAGAACAAAUGUGUAAGUAACUAUGCACGUCUUGACGGUACCUAAUCAGAAAGCCACGGCUAACUACGUG
rnacentral:rRNA from 1 species